GCUCAGUAUGAAGGCUCAGGGUUCAAUCCCCCAAAUGACAAAAACAAACAAACCACAAAAAUGAACAAGUGAGGCAUGUCAGAGGGAUUUGGGGGCCAACUUCAAAGCUGCCAUUGGACAAACAUGGAUAGUUUAGGCAACAGAAUAAAUAAAACAGCAUUAAAUUUUAUCCCAAAGUAUAAAACAACUAUUCAUUAGUCCAAGAUUAAAUACAUAAGAGAGAUGAACUAAAUCUUUUCUAUGGAGGAAUUCCAAAUAACUGAUACAGAUCCACCUUACUUUCUGCGUGAGAUGUGCUGUGUUCCUUCUGAUGAAUGGAGAACAAGAAGAAUUAAGUGAGUCUACCAUGGAGAAAUGUGGCCUGCAUUUCUGUGGGCAGUGGUAACCAGUGAAAAAUCGUUCUGACAGUAUGAAAGAUUUGAUGUUUGUGGUUUUACUCACAGAUACCCCUAUUUCUAGUCUAAGUAUGGUAAAAAUACCAGACAAACCCACAAUGAACAUUGACCUGACCGAUGCUCUUCAGAAGGGCCAAGGAAGUCAAUAAAAACUGGAAGAAUCUGAGAAAUUAUCACAGACUACAGAAGGAGAGGAAGCAUGAUGACUAAAUGAGUACUGGGGAUGGAACUCAGGACUUUGCCCUUGAGGCAGGUGUGGUGCCACAGCUCAAGGUUAAUGUGAUGAUUGCUCCUGAUCACAUGAAACACAGCCUGGAACCGUGAUUCCGAUAGAACCCCAAGUGGCAUCUAGCCUUCUCUACUAGCUUCAUGAAAAAGAAUGCAUAAAAAGCAGAUGAAGCCAGGACCGGAUCUCGAAAGGCCUCACCGAAGAGGAAGAAUACUGACUGUUUCUAGCACCACUCAAUCUGCCUCUGGCCUCACACCAUCUUUUUCUUCCUCUCCGGGAGUCAGAUGCCGGUUUCCUGCCAGCUAAGAGAAGCCAUGGAAGUCCGAUUACACCUCAGCAACCUUUCUCCUGUUCUCCGGUUUCCGACUUUGCCUUCGUGUGCCUUUUCAUAAAUACUGGGGCCAUCAGUCCCUGAGGCUUUAGGAUUCCAGUCCUGGGGAUCCGUCUACUCUCACCCCUACAUCCCAACCUCCCUCAUUUUGGGACUCAGCUUUCUCAGGUUAGGUGAGAUCCCAGCUGACUGCUUCCUUUUUUGGGCUGGGGGGUACCGGGGAUCGAACUUGGGUCCUUUUCCUUGCAAGGCAGGAGGCAGAACCACUGAGCUAAAUCCCCAGAUGCAGCUGACUGCUUCCUAAGUGCUAACAUUUUAUUGGAGUCAUCUCUUUUCCCAUUGUCUUUGACCUUGAUGUGCUAUGUUUCUUUCUGUAAAAGCCCUAGCCUGUUAUUGUUGGGUAUUUUGAUAAGGGUAUCAGAAGAAAUGUGGAUGUUUAACCCGAUGUCUUUAGAUAGAAGUAUAAUGGAACACUGGAGACAAACUGUUCUCUUGGCCACACAGUUGAGUUAUUGUCAGGUCUCAGUUUUAACCUGAAAUCUGGAAUUGGCCCUGGCGAGGACUCAGUACUUCAAGGACUCAUUUUCCUGUGAUUGAGAGCUCAAAGAAAGCUGACUGAUGUGACAUUUCCAGUUAGAAUGAGUAAGGAAACCUUCCUGUGAGCAUGCUCUGGGUUGAGAUUUCUAAAUGCAGGAGUAAUUUUCUUCUUUUCUUUCACUGUUGGAUGAAAGAAAAUUAAUGAAAUAGAUAGAAAAAAGAGAAACAUUUCCUUUUUUCUGAUCAUGUCUAAGAUGGUCUGGGAAAAAUUACUCUUCUUUUAAGAGGUUUUCAAGUCCUCAAGGAUUCAAAUAUAAUAAAAUGAGUAUUAUUCAACCCUACGUCGGGAAGAGCCACACAGGUAUAAAGAAGUGAAACAGUAGCCUGUGCGACAUAAUAUUUGGCGAAAAUAGCCCUUGACCUUUGAGUUGGUAGAGACCGCAGAAGGCCUGGGGGACUGUGGACAACUGGGAAGGGAACGCCCUACUUAUUGUGGGUUCUUGCUAACGCACUUUAACCUAUUAGCACCUUGUGGAAAUUACUGUGCUAGAUGGUGCAAGGAAGGCUGGAGAUGUGGUCAUUAAGAGAAUUUUCCAGCAGUCAAGGAAUACAGAAAAUUAGGGGUUUAUUGUCACACUCCUGGAGAGCAGUGGGCGAGCCGCAGGAGCGGACUGCGCUUCAGGAUGGGAGUCUGGGGAUUCCAGAAGGGACUGAGGGCGUGGAAAAGGGCCUCAGCUCUCGUGAUAUCUCAGAAACACACUUCCCACGGCAUCUUGUUCCUUGUGAAUCUUCCAGGAACACUUGCAUUGCAACUGAAGUUGUACAUCAAAGUUGCAGAUUGACAAGGCCACUUAUUCUGUGCUCACGGGAGUCCCUUCAGCUUUAGAUAAGGUGCUCUAUACACAUUAACUCGUGGAGAGAAGAGCGAUCAAGCUCAGAGUGAAGGAUAGAUAGGUCUUCUAUUUAUUUCUUGUGCUGUUUCUAGUCAUUGUUGAUGCAGGGCCUCAGGACCACUCAGUACAUGCUGGGCAGGAUUGUGUCAGCAGAGACGUGGUGUCGCUGUUUUGUCACCACAGAAAGGAGCAAUCCAAAUUUCUGAGAGAAACAAGAAAUACACAUUUUAACAUGAAAUUAUAGAAUGAGAUAAUGAAAUAUUAAGAUAUUCGCACAAAAUAACUCAAUUAACAAUUUUUAAAUAUUGACAAGUAGUUACAAAAUGUUUCAGUGCUGUACAAGCAUGGAAUGGUGCAACGUCCAACUUACAACACAUCCCAUCAGCUUCCCUAUGCCCUACCAUCAUAUUUCAAGGCCAUACGAAGCCAUUCAUAAUUGUCACUGCAGUUGUAGCUCCAGAGGCUAACAUUCAUCUCUGGGGAAUAUUACACUUACUAAGAUCAGAAAGAGCAGAUUUAGAAAAAUAGGGCUAGAAAUCACGUUUUCUUUCUCAUAGAGUGACACUAUUUUCUCAUAUAGAAUCGACUCGGGGCCAGGGAUUUAGCUCAGUGGUGCUGACAUCUGCCUUGCAAGUGCAAAGUCCUGAGUUUGAUCCCCAUACCAAAAAACAAAGAAAUAAACAAACAGCGCAAUCAACUAGAAUCAACUCAGUUUCUCAAAGCCAACUGGCUUUCUCAGGACCUUCUGGUCAGAGUAGAUUCUAUAAGACUACAUAGGCAUAUAAAGGAAAGACGAAGCUGAUCCAUUUGAACGAAAAGUAAUUCUCUACUCUCGACUCUUGGCUGUAUUCCUCCUUGUGGUAUAUGGCUGCUCACAGGUUCCGGAAAAGUGGCCAUGAAUCACAGACUUACAUUAUUCUCAUAGCCUGCCAAAAAGGAAGAGAAAACCUCUUUUCUUCUCUGGCAGUGAAGUCCCAAGAACUCUUUCACCAUCUUGGAUCACAUACUCAUCCCGCAUCCCUGAACCAGUCACUGUGGUGAGGAGAGGAAGUGCUCUGCUUGGCUGAGCUCUCUGAGGUCAGACAGAGAUGUUGAGGUUGUCUUUGGUUGUACCAUAAAGACAGGAAAGGGGCAUUCCCUCAAGAAAGGGUUGAUGAAUGAUUAACACCUGUCUACUAGAGAGACAAGUGUUUUCAGAGCUUGAAAAAACCUUCUAAAUCCUUGUGGCUUAAGCAUUUUUGUCUAGACCUGCUGAAUAGUGAAUAGUAAGGCAAUAGAAACAUGGAAAAUCAACUGUCAAGAAGCGUGCCCUACAUUUAGACAAGCUGAGCUGAAAUUGCAAUAUGACGUCUAAGACUCUAGAAAUUGAUAUUUUAUAAAUCUAGCAAGCAUCAAGAAGAGCCUGUCCUUUACGUAGUUCAUUCUCUCCUGUUCGAAAUAGAUUUAGAAUCUCGACUAUAAUGAUGCGACAAAAGAUGGUGUGUUCCGAAAGAGGGAGAAGACAGGAAGCUUUAAUUUCAGAUGAGCUGAAUUAAUCUUCAUGAACCUGACAAGUUCUUAGAAAAUAAAAAAAAACUCAGCUGAGUUCAGUAAAAAGUCACCUUGUCUGAUGACUGGAGACAGCAGGUAGAGUCCAGCCAACGAAUAAGGCAACUUGUGUAUCUUGUAGCCUUUUCAGAGCCUGAGGAGAACCCAGAUGGUUCACAGAGAAUGCAGAAACACCCCAGCAUAGCCAGGCCUUACGCCUUGUGAGAGGAAGCAAGGCAAACCAAAACACCCAAUCCCUUGAAAUAUCAGUUUCCCCAUCUGUAAAACUGAGAUGAUAGUUUUGUUGUGAAAAAAUUUUAAGAAUUACAUUAGUGCAUACUACAGGCAGAGUGUUUUCGUUCCUCCCUCCCCCAGUUCAUCUGUUGAAAUCUUAACCCCUGAUGUGAUGGUGCAGAGAGGUGAGGUCUCCAGGAAGUAGAUAAGUAACGAAGGUAGAGUCUUCACGAACGCAAUGAUGGCCCUUAUGAAGUGGGACCCUGGAGAGCUCCCUUCACGUCUGCUAGGUGAGAUUAUAGCUAAAAGACCCUUCAAGUCUAUAGUCCAGGAAGUGGGCGCCCACCAGACACCAGUGCUGCCUCCUUGACCUUGGGCUUUGCAGCUUCAGAUUGAGAAAUAAAUUUGUGUUGUUUGUAAGCGACUCGACCUAUGGCAUUUUAUCGUAUCAGCCCAGCUGGGCCAAGACCUAUCCUAAUGCUAGUACACUAAACUACCACAAUCUUAAUAACUCAGAACAACAUAGAUUUAUUAUCUACAGUUAUGGAGGUCAGAAGUCCAAGUGACCAUUAUGCAUUUCCAGACUCUCUAGGGAGAGAAUCCGUUCUCUUGCGUUCCAGUUUCUGUCUCCUUAGCUCACAGCCACAUCAGUGUGACUUCUGCUCUUGCAGUCGUGCCUUUUAUUUUUCUGACUCCGACCUUCCUGCCUCCCUUUUAUAGUGACCCCUGUGAUUACACCGGCCCACCCAGAUAAUCCAGACGAAUCUUUCUAUGCCAGGGUUCUUACAAACAUCUUCAAGGUUUCUGAAAUAUAAGGUAACACAUGCUCACAAGUGUCAGCAACUAGAACAUGAGCAUCGUUGGGAGCCCAAAACGCAGUCUACCACAGGAGUACGAGAAGAAAUAAUACCUGUGAAGGAUUUUAGAGUUGCGCUUGACAAUGCAGAUAAAGGAUCGAUGCCAAAUGCAGUUUGGAAAGUGUAAUUGUUAAGAUCUUGGACUAUGCAUUCUAACAUUAAAAUGUUCAGUAGGGCCAGAAUAUGUGAUCAUCUGUUCUUGUGCAUGUCAAGUUAAUUUUUUACAUUUAUUUAUUAUUUAUUUUUAAAGAG